GGCCGCCCUCUGUGGGGUGAUCGAUCUUGGGACCCUGUGAUGGAUGGCCCCACAGAGGGAGGCC
rnacentral:pre_miRNA from 1 species